UACGAAGGGGGCUAGCGUUGCUCGGAAUCACUGGGCGUAAAGCGCACGUAGGCGGCUUUCUAAGUCAGGGGUGAAAUCCUGGAGCUCAACUCCAGAACUGCCUUUGAUACUGGGGAGCUCGAGUCCGGAAGAGGUGAGUGGAACUCCGAGUGUAGAGGUGAAAUUCGUAGAGAUGUGGAGGAACACCAAUGGCGAAGGCAGCCUUCUGGGCCAACACUGACGCUCAUGCACGAAAGCGUGGGGAGCAAACAGG
rnacentral:rRNA from 1 species